rnacentral:ncRNA from 1 species
ACAGUACAAACUGAACAGGCAAUGGCGUAGCUGCCAUGAAGCCGGGCCUUUGGGCAGCAGAAUGUGAACAGACAUCUGCGGGACAGU